rnacentral:rRNA from 1 species
GACGAACGCUGGCGGCGUGCUUAACACAUGCAAGUCGAACGGAAAGGCCCUGCUUUUGUGGGGUGCUCGAGUGGCGAACGGGUGAGUAACACGUGAGUAACCUGCCCUUGACUUUGGGAUAACUUCAGGAAACUGGGGCUAAUACCGGAUAGGAGCUCCUGCUGCAUGGUGGGGGUUGGAAAGUUUCGGCGGUUGGGGAUGGACUCGCGGCUUAUCAGCUUGUCGGUGGGGUAGUGGCUUACCAAGGCUUUGACGGGUAGCCGGCCUGAGAGGGUGACCGGCCACAUUGGGACUGAGAUACGGCACAGACUCCUACGGGAGGCAGCAGUGGGGAAUAUUGCACAAUGGGCGGAAGCCUGAUGCAGCAACGCCGCGUGCGGGAUGACGGCCUUCGGGUUGUAAACCGCUUUCGCCUGUGACGAAGCGUGAGUGACGGUAAUGGGUAAAGAAGCACCGGCUAACUACGUG